UACGGGGGGGGCAAGCGUUGUUCGGAAUUACUGGGCGUAAAGGGCGCGUAGGCGGCCUGUUAAGUCACACGUGAAAUCCCUCGGCUCAACCGAGGAACUGCGUCCGAUACUGGUGGGCUUGAAUCCGGGAGAGGGAUGUGGAAUUCCAGGUGUAGCGGUGAAAUGCGCAGAUAUCAGGAGGAACACCCGUAGCGAAGGCGGCACUCUGGGCCGAUACUGACACUGAGGAGCGAAAGCGUGGGGAGCGAACGGG
rnacentral:rRNA from 1 species